AUUUUUACGAGUACUGAUACCACUACUAUUAACUACCAUUACAACUACUACGCUAUUACGACUCCAACUAUUACUGGGUGUAAGGAUCCCCCGGGGAACUGCGAGAGAGUGGAAGGAAAGCUGGCCAACGGCAUCGACGACGCCGACGACAAUGGCGGCCAUGUUCAGCGGCGGCCGCGAGGAUGAAUGCUUCAUAACGUUUCGAUUGCUGCCAGCUAAACAAGCGAUUAAAGCAUGUACCCAAUAAGAGAGCUGCACUUAUGCGCGCACACCCACACAAAAGAGGCACAUUCGGCUCGAUUGCAAUUUGUUAUUCUCUCUCUCGGGGUUUUAGUUUGUGAGUGCAAACUCCUCUAUCCAUCCUUCACUCGGCAAAACCGGAGAAGUGCAACCGUAAAAUAUCGACAAGCGUGAACGCCUGCGGAGGAGGACGUAUGGUAAAUUAACAUUUAAUUAGUUUUGUAAGCAAAAAACGGAAAAAAGAACAGAAUACGGUACAUAUUUUUAGCGGAAAUUCUAUACAUAUACAAAGCAAGAGAUGAAAAUAUAGUAAUUAUUAUGAUUAAGGUAAAGAAACUUAUGAGUGCUGCGAAAGCGCAUGAAGACAGCAACAACAACAAACAAAAAAAAGAUGAAAUUACUAGGUAUAGAAUUCGUUGACUGGCGCUGAUUUAUAUUUCUUCUCCAGCAUAGUAUUUUUUUCCUGUUUUACACUCCCAGCGGGGAGUUUCCGAUAUGAGUUUGAUACUCAGUGCGCAAUUUUUACGCAGAACCAUGGUCCUCGAGAGUGAUGAAAGCAGAUAGUGGUACAAGAGUAUAGCAAAAAGAGAUUAUUUAAUACGAAAGGAGACAACAGAGUAGAUUCUAUUGUUAAAAGAGAUCAGUUUAUGCUAGUUUAGUCACAAAAAUGUAUAAAAUAAACAGUAAUGAUUACAUAGAACCAAACACGCAGACAGAACAAGAAAUAGAGAAGCGCAGAAGGAGGUAUUCACAUCAAAACACAUCGAAAAAUACAUACAUAGAGAAGAAGGAGAAAAUCCUUUGAUUCCUCAGCUCUAAGUUUCCGCGACCGCAUGAACACUCGUACAAUAAGGAUAACGUAUAUUUACCAGUUUAAAACUACCGUUCAGUGUCGGAUAUUUUUGUAAUUUUAUCGUAACCGAGAGCUUUUAGUGAAAUAUUUCUUCGUUGUUGUAUGAAUGGGGAUGUUAGCCCUUCAGUUCAUUGUUUUUUCCGUGAUACAGCGUGAUCUAUACCUGGAUCGCCGAAUUUUUAAAAUAACACAAAUUCGCAUUAUAGCUUUACUGUCACAUAUUAUUGUGUAGGUGAUUUAAGGAUGUGAAUUUCCACGUGUUUGUGCUUUUGUUCUGGAACGUGUACAGUUUUUUAUAGCACUGAUUGUGUAUCGUGAGAAGAAAGCGCAGUUUUCUAAUCGAUUGUAUGUGUUCAGCAGUAUCAAACCAACGUGAAUGUGUGUACCCUUAUUCCUCCACCCAUACUUUGUCGCCUACUAUGAUGCAUCCCAAUCGAUAGCGAUAGUCAUUCGAGCGUAUUUAAUAGGUUCAAUCAAAGCAACCGGCUCAUUAACUACUAACUAAACUUAGAUAGUUGUUCUUAUAGGCCCCUCCCUCCCUUGCAUUUCCUCAUGUUUAUGGCUCCACAAACCUCUUUCUCUCUACCACACUCUAUAUUAAACCUCUCAGACCGACCCAUAUACCGAUUGGAAUCACUCUCUACAGUCUAUAUUGUUGUUAUAACUAUUGGUAAACAAAAAAAAACCAGAAGAAAAGGCUAUUUAUACUUUAUAACGUCCGCAAUGGAAGCGUUGAGAAGAAGCGCAUUUAUCUAACCCGUUACGCAACGCCACAUUUCCAAAGCCUAUCAUUUGAUGUCAAUAUACUCCGUAUAUAUACAUGCAAGCAUACAUCCAACACACACACACUUUAUAAGCGCCAUUGUCGUCAUAAUCAUCAUCAUCGGAAACGGACACGCGAAAUCGUACGUAGAAUUAGGUAAGAACAGAAGAAAGCAACCCAGAGAGGAAGAAUAGAAAAAGAGAGCUUUAAUAAUAGCCCCGAAACAAUUGCAUAAUUAGAGAGAGAGUAUGUGUGCAAUAACAUAAUUGUAAAACACGUUUUAUCCUUGCCACCAUCCACGCAGUACGAAGUAAGCCAGAAGACAGGACACCGAGCAGGAAAAAUAAUGAAGAGAAGGAACGAAACUGAACCAGGUAGCAACAAUUGCACACGCGUGUACGCAGCAAAAGACCCGUGAUCAAUGCUUGUGAGAGCGCGCGUUACCUUGAGAUACCGCGAUUGAUUGAGGCACGGGACGGGUGUCACCCGCUCCACUCAAACUUUGUUUUCAAAAAUUGUGGCUUACCCUAGGUUAGCACGAUGACCAGCCUAACUGUUGUCAGAAUGAUUUUUAAUUGAUUAUUAUUAUUAUUAAAUUUAAACAUAUUUUUAGUGCCAGCGAGAUAUAGUAGAUUCCGCACCGAAAGCGAUCAUGACGUUCUAGUUCGCAUGCCUGUGUAUUUAGGAUUGGGCGAUCUUGGAUCGAUAUUUAGAAGAUCGAUAUUUUAUUCUUCAAUUUCCGAUUUUUUGGAUCGAUUCUCGCAAAAAUUGAUCCUUCCUUUAGAUCUUCCCUAUCCUAUCUUUUUGAUCGCACUUUUUUUUCAGUGAACAUUGUUUCCAAUCUCUCUAAAAACCAUCUAAUAAACUUCAUUAACAUUGGAUCCGUUUCAAAGUUGUCAAAUCAGUGGUCGUAAAUUUAGGAGAAGCAGUUUUGUAAGUUUGGUCAUUAGGUGGUUACAAGUUAUAUUUGCACCAUCACAUUCACUAGGCUGACAAAGAAAACUGUGACAAAUUUGGAUGGUAACAUCAGGUCCAGCUGAAGCGUUCUUUUCUAGAACUGGGACUACCGAAUCAGAGUUCUCUCGUUCUCGCUUGUGUCAUGUAACAACAAACAAAAGCCACUGAGGGAAAUGAUUUCUGCAAGAACAUAUUUGAACAUUACGAAUCAAGCAAUAAUGAUUAUCGGGUUUAAACCUUUCGUCUUUCAAACACUUUUCUGCAUCUUCAAGUCACAGGGCCAACGCAGUCAGCUAUGUAUGAAGCGAUCACUACUACUAAUGCGCCGUCUUGCGUAAAAAUAACAUUUGAGGUUCAAAAUUUCUUGCUGACUGAAGCCGAUGGAAACGAUUGAAAACAAGCAAAAAACAGGCAGCUCACUUGGUCACACGUCGACUCUGAGUUCUCGGCAGAUUUGCUUAAAACUUCAUUGGCUUUUAUCAGCCCACCGAAGUUUGCAUAAAUUGGUUUCACAACAUUAUAAUGAGCACAUCAUCGAGUUUGCGACAACCUUUUCCCAAUCGCUCCUGUGUGGCUCAGAAACGUAUCUCAGCGAUGAGCUUAACCAGUGGGAAACGAGUAAACUGAUUCAACAGUUGUAAAAAAAUUGUUGUGUUCGAUGUGUUGAUUGCAAUGUCAGAUGCACAGCGAGUGAAAUAUUGUUCAACGUCCACAACUCGAGGGGAAACAUAAAACACAAAACGAGCAAGAUGAGCGAUGUUUCCUGUUUUGGUUAUAGAAAGAGACUGAGAAUUCUCCUCAGAGGAGAUGCAAUAUUUAUACGCUAGCGACAGCGUACUUACUGUGCAAGAGUGGGGAAAUAUUCUUUCUUCGCUAUCACCCUUCGUUGUUUCUAUUCUCGCGGCUGCAUAAGUUGCCCGUUAUUGACAGCACGGUUAAGCAAGCACACAAAUGGAAGAACAAAAGUAUGGGAAUAUGGUAAUGCUUGCAAUUUUCAUCAACUUAAACCAUUCAAAGAUUGUGGAAUUGUAAUGCAUAGCAUAUCAAACCCCCCCGUAGACUACGCCACUGGUCCACAGAUUCAGAUUCAUUAACCAAUUUUAAACAUAUGGUAAACAAACCGCUUUGACACAUUAGCAGUGUUUGCCAAAUGAUCCACUCAUUGAAAAAAUCGCUUUCGUUCGUUCAAAUAUGAUCUUUCAGGAAACAUUUCCCCCAGCGGUAUUCUUUUGUUGUUAUGUGUUGCAAAUCACGACACAAAAGAGAACGAGACAACUCUGCAUCGGCUCGCACUUACAAUAUUUGCAUUGCACACCAGCAUGCAAGCAAAGCUAUCAUAUACGCUUUUGGUCAGAAAGCUUAUUUUCUUCUUUGCCUCUAACAUAUGCAUAUCGACCUCUCCAUGCAUCAUGAAACAGCAGGAUCGUACGGAACACGCAAAGCGAAAGAUUCAUAUUCAGCUAAUGUAGCAGAUCUUGAUUUUUAAGUCUCAGAGAGUGCAAACUGUAUGAUUAUUUAGCUCGAUAGAGGCUAAGAGAAGGGUAGUCAGAUUAUAUUUUCCAUUUUUAACGCCGCUAUCCCUUGAAAUAUGUAUAUUCACAUAGACCGCAUAGUUUUACUAGCAACACCGCUCCAGUGAGAAGCAAAAACUCUCACGUUUUAUCUCUUUUCCCAUUCGUUGCUCUCCGCAAAUAGUGACUGAAUGAUGACGUAAUUUUUCUUGUAUGAUUUAUUGCUUUGCACUUGUCUGUGCAGUGCGUUUCGCUAUAAUAGAACGGGUCGAUAUAUGCGGUUCAAACUUGUAUGCAGGCUGCGAAAAUAGUGUGCCAUGUUUGAUACAGCUCGAAUAUGCAAACAACAGUCUUCGUUCCUCUCUUAGUUUAAUCAUCAAAUGUUACACAAGUGAUUACUGACAUUCAUACAAGUAUCUGAAUGAUCCUCUCAUAUUUGGUUAUAUGUUCGAGAGAGUUUACUUGCAUGACACAUUGUGUAUCAUUCGAUUUUGAUCGAAAUCCAAACACUGCACAUUAGUGAUUUCGCUUCGGCGUCAUAUACACAUAAGUAUCUGAUUUUGUGUCAAACUUUGGGACCACAUUUUCAGGAAGUGUUGUUUUUUAUCGUCCGCUCAACGAAAACGGUGGCUGAAGUGUAUCGAGAGCUCUGAGAAGUUCACGGAAACUCUGCUCUAAGUAAUGUUUGCAUUAAAAAAAUGGACUUUUUUCGGAUGGUGAUAAAAAUUAACUAAGACAGAUAAUUGAGUUUGAUAAAUUUCCCAUGGAAGGUAAUUAUAUUAGCUUACUUUCAAAAAAAAAUUCUGCGCCCUUGCGAGCGGCCUUCCGGCAGUUAACCGGAUCAUUCGCCAUGACGGACGAAAACAUCCGUGUAGGCAUGUUUUUGAGUUCUUUCUUCGUUUUCUUUCGUUCUUUCUUCAAUUCCUUCUUAGUUCUCGUGACAAAAUUGUUGGAGUAGAUCUUACGCUUCAGGUUUGCCCAGAAAUUCUCGAUGGGACGCAGCUGGGGGACGUUGGGCGGGUUCUCCGACUUGAGUACCACAUCGAUAUUCAGCUGCUCCAUCUCCUCUAACGAUUUAACGAAAAAUUAUAUCGAAACUGUUCCGUAUCCUAAGAAUUAACAACAUAGUAACUUUAUGUUCCCUUUCCAAGCGUUGACAGUCCUCCAGUUUUUGAAUUAUUUCCUUAUUUUGUUACCUUUUAAUUUAUAACAACUGGCUUUACGUGGAUACGUCUAAUCAAUAAUCGCUAUGUCAAUCAAUAAUACUGAAGCUAAAAUUAUGCUUCAAAAUUGUACUUUUAAAUUUUAAGAAAAAAGAAAA